CAUUUGGUGGAAACUAAACUUCCAAGGAUGCACCAUUGACUGAGGGUCCCUAACUUUUCACACUCCCCCUCCUCUAUCUUCUCUUCUCUUCUCUUCUCUUCUCUUCACUCUCCCCUGAAAGAAAGAAGGAAAUCUCCAGUGUUUCUCCUUCUCCAAUCGCUGUGGAUUCGGAUCCGGUCAUCCGCCAGAGCUCCUGCAGUAAAGGAUUGCAGCGUCUGCAAAGAUGCCGGGAGACCUGGUGGUGAUCUCGGUGCCGUUAAUUAUCCUGCUCGCGAUCGUGGCCCUUGCUUGCUACCUUUUCGGUCGGGCCCGGGGCCGGACCUGACGGAGCGCCCCACACAAUUAUGGGCCACCGGCCCCACCGGUCACAACCCAUCCUCCACCUGCCCCGGCCCGGGAAAUAGAACGCGAUUAUCAUUAGUUUGCUGCAUUGUAUAUCUACUCGAACCUUUUGUGGUUUUAUUUAUAGGAUAUAUGAUGUUGGUGGGUUUGGUAGCUUAUCUGCUUCUUUGCUAAGUAUGGAUUUCAAAUAAUAAUAUUAUAUUUGUCUUAUUGCUA